rnacentral:tRNA from 1 species
GCUAGUGUGGCAUAGUGGUUUGAGUGCUGGAUUAUGACUCUGGAGACCAGGGUUUGAUUCCCACUCAGCC